rnacentral:rRNA from 1 species
GACCUUGCGCUAUUGGAUGAGCCUAAGUCGGAUUAGCUAGUUGGUGGGGUAAUGGCCCACCAAGGCGACGAUCCGUAGCUGGUCUGAGAGGAUGAUCAGCCACAUCGGGACUGAGACACGGCCCGAACUCCUACGGGAGGCAGCAGUGGGGAAUAUUGGACAAUGGGGGCAACCCUGAUCCAGCCAUGCCGCGUGUGUGAAGAAGGCUUUCGGGUUGUAAAGCACUUUCAGUGAGGAGGAAGGCCAAGUCGCUAAUAUCGGCUUGGAUUGACGUUACUCACAGAAGAAGCACCGGCUAACUCCGUGCCAGCAGCCGCGGUAAUACGGAGGGUGCAAGCGUUAAUCGGAAUUACUGGGCGUAAAGCGCGCGUAGGUGGUUUGUUAAGCGAGAUGUGAAAGCCCCGGGCUUAACCUGGGAACGGCAUUUCGAACUGGCAGGCUAGAGUGUGGUAGAGGGUAGUGGAA